CCAGAAACUCCCCAGGGCCCUGCCCCUCCAUGCCAGGUGCACCAGAUCUGGGCAGGCAGGCUCAGCAUGACAGGAUCCAAGUGUAGAGAGGUCUUAGCAUGAGGGAAUC